GACGAACGCUGGCGGCGUGCCUAAUACAUGCAAGUCGAACGAGAGCGACCGGUGCUUGCACUGGUCAAUCUAGUGGCGAACGGGUGAGUAACACGUGGGUAACCUGCCCAUCAGAGGGGGAUAACAUCCGGAAACGGAUGCUAAAACCGCAUAGGUCUUCGAACCGCAUGGUUUGAAGAGGAAAAGAGGCGCAAGCUUCUGCUGAUGGAUGGACCCGCGGUGCAUUAGCUAGUUGGUGAGGUAACGGCUCACCAAGGCCGUGAUGCAUAGCCGACCUGAGAGGGUGAUCGGCCACAUUGGGACUGAGACACGGCCCAAACUCCUACGGGAGGCAGCAGUAGGGAAUCUUCCGCAAUGGACGCAAGUCUGACGGAGCAACGCCGCGUGAGUGAAGAAGGUUUUCGGAUCGUAAAACUCUGUUGUUAGAGGAGAACAAGUGCUAGAGUAACUGUUAGCGCCUUGACGGUAUCUAACCAGAAAGCCACGGCUAACUACGUG
rnacentral:rRNA from 1 species